GGUAUUGAAGACUGGGAAGUGGGCGUGGCUUGGAGGUGGGCGUGGCUUGUGGGGACGUGGGCGUGGCCUCCUGAAGGGGCGGGGCUUAUGCCUGGUAUUGAAGACUGGGAAGUGGGCGUGGCUUGUUGGGCGGAAGGAGGGCGUGGCCUACCGGAUGUGGAGGGGGCGUGGCUUAACGCCUUGGCCCCGCCCCCUGCCCCGCAGCCACCUCCAUCUUUGCACUGAAGGAGAUCCAACUGCAGAAGGAGACGGGGCUGCGCUCGGCCUCCCUGCCCGACCCCGCCCCCCCGGACGCCGCUGUGCCCCCCCCGUGACACAGACGCCACCCCCCCCCCCCCCCCAAAAAACACUUCGUUGGGGAUCCCCCCCCCCCAAAACUGAUGGACUACGGGG
ensembl:lncRNA